rnacentral:lncRNA from 1 species
GGUCAGGCAGCUCUCCUGUUGCUCCCACAUAUGGAUCUGGGGGUCCUGGUCACCGCAGGGCCUGGGAGGGGCUGGUCAGCCCUACAGACCUCACUCUUGGGGGCUAAGUUGGCGGGGAUUAACGGCGUCAGAAUCCUGAGGCCCUUCACCCCCAUGAGUGUCCCCGCCUUAACUGUCACCCAGCCCCACUCACAGACCCACCCAGCGAGACUCUCAGCCGGGCGGUACUCGCUCCAAGGCUGCUGCCACCCACCCUUUCCUCCUCUCCAAGCCUGCACUCCCCGACGCUGGCACAGCACGGAGCUAAUUCGUGCUGAGUGGACUAAAGAGCGCUGCUCCUGUCCAUGCAUGAUGCCCAGGCUUCUGGUACCACAGGCUUCCACAGGAGGAAGUGGUUUCCCAGAGGGCAUUCCCAAGUGCCGGAUGCAGUCUCUGGGAUGCUUAGCCCCUGGAGGGUGCACCAGGGGAGGAAAGGGUUCUCAUGUUCAAGACCUGGCUGUUCUACCUGGGAACCCGUGGCUUGAGAGGCAGAGACCGUCAGCACUGGGCUGGAGGGAUGAGUUCAGGGGAGCAGGUAACCAAAGGUCUAUCGGGCCUGUACAGACCCAGGCGGCCAGCGGCACAGCGCCAAGCACAGCUGCAAAAGGCUGUGAGCCGCAGGACUCCGGCUGGGUGACAUUCUGGAAAAGGCAAAACUUGGAGACAGUGAAGAGACCAGCGCUUGUCAGGAGUUGGGAGAGGAACACAGGACGGGUGGAGCACAAGGACGGGCGGGUGUGACCGCAAGCUGUACGUCACAGUGAGGAGACCCGCGUCACACACAGCUGAACACAGCUACCAAGGUGCAGCAGAGUGAGGACGGCACACUUGGGCUCUGCUUGCCAGCGACGUAUCAGGGCUGGCUGUUAGCUGCUCACAGUCGUAACAAAUGCAGCCCUGGAGAGGUU